UUACCCAUUCUGCUUUUCGCCCGAUUUCCAUAUACCUAGCUACCUACUUUAACUUUUGAGGUCAAGCCACUUAUCUCGUAAAAAGUAAUGAGUAAAAACAUCUUCUUGCACGUAAAUAUUCUUCCUGAAUAUGUAAUUAUUUGAAACCAAAUUGACGUAAAAUUACGAGUGGUACUACGAGAGAUAGCCAUUCGCACUCGGUAAUUUAUUACGUCCAUCGCAACACUUUUGGUCAAAGUACGUAAAUGUGUCCAUUUAGAUCGUGUUAACGUAAAAACAUGAGUGCAUGAAGAAUCCAUUUCAUCGCCUACGUUUUUUUUUAGUUGUUCAAUUACAAUUUUUGACUAAAAUGAAGGUGUACUAUAAAGAAAGAUGUGUUUGUAAUGGCUCCGAGAACUUUUAAAAAUCGUGUCCGAAAACAAUCAAAAAUGGCUGAAUCUGCGAUGGGAGAGGUUGUGAAUGGUUUUCCGGCCG